rnacentral:rRNA from 1 species
CCUACGGGGGGCUGCAGUGGGGAAUAUUGGACAAUGGGGGCAACCCUGAUCCAGCCAUGCCGCGUGUGUGAAGAAGGCCCUCGGGUUGUAAAGCACUUUCAGUGAGGAAGAACGCCUGGUGGUUAAUACCCAUCAGGAAAGACAUCACUCACAGAAGAAGCACCGGCUAACUCCGUACCAGCAGCCGCGGUAAUACGGAGGGUGCGAGCGUUAAUCGGAAUUACUGGGCGUAAAGCGCGCGUAGGUGGCUUGAUAAGCCGGUUGUGAAAGCCCCGGGCUCAACCUGGGAACGGCAUCCGGAACUGUCAAGCUAGAGUGCAGGAGAGGAAGGUAGAAUUCCCGGUGUAGCGGUGAAAUGCGUAGAGAUCGGGAGGAAUACCAGUGGCGAAGGCGGCCUUCUGGACUGACACUGACACUGAGGUGCGAAAGCGUGGGUAGCAAACAGGAUUAGAUACCCUAGUAGUC